rnacentral:rRNA from 1 species
CCUACGGGAGGCAGCAGUGGGGGAUAUUGCACAAUGGGGGAAACUCUGAUGCAGCGACGCCGCGUGAGCGAUGAAGUACCUCGGUGUGUAAAGCUCUAUUAGUAGGGAAGUAAAUGAUUGUACGUGACUAAGAAGCUCCGGCUAAAUACGUGCCAGCAGCCGCGGUAAGACGUAGGGAGCAAGCGUUAUCCGGAUUUACUGGGUGUAAAGGGAGCGUAGGGGGUGUGCCAAGUCUGGAGUGAAAUGCCGCAGCUUAACUGCGAAACUGCUUUUGAAACUGGCGAACUAGAGUACGGUAGAGGUAAGCGGAAUUCCUGGUGUAGCGGUGAAAUGCGUAGAUAUUAGGAGGAACACCGGUUGCGAAGGCAGCUCACUGGACCGUAACUGACAUUGAGGCUCGAAAGCGUGGGGAGCAAACAGGAUUAGAUACCCCAGUAGUC